UACGUAGGUGACAAGCGUUGUCCGGAUUUACUGGGCGUAAAGAGCGCGCAGGCGGUCGAUCAAGUCGAGUGUGAAAGCCCCCGGCUCAACUGGGGAGGGUCAUUCGAUACUGAUCGACUCGAAGGCAGGAGAGGGUAGUGGAAUUCCCGGUGUAGUGGUGAAAUGCGUAGAUAUCGUAAGGAAGACCAGUGGCGAAGGCGGGUCUCUGGACAGUUCCUGACGCUGAGGCACGAAGGUCAGGGGAGCAAACGGG
rnacentral:rRNA from 1 species